GACGAACGCUGGCGGCGUGCCUAACACAUGCAAGUCGAACGGAAGCAAAGAUUUCGGUUUUUGCUUUAGUGGCGAACGGGUGAGUAACGCGUGAGGAACCUGCCUUUCAGUGGGGGACAACAGUUGGAAACGACUGCUAAUACCGCAUAAUACUUUUGAGUGGCAUCACUUAAAAGUCAAAGAUUUAUUGCUGAAAGAUGGCCUCGCGUCUGAUUAGCUAGUUGGUGGGUAACGGCCCACCAAGGCGACGAUCAGUAGCCGGUCUGAGAGGAUGAACGGCCACACUGGAACUGAGACACGGUCCAGACUCCUACGGAGGCAGCAGUGGGGAAUCUUCCGGCAAUGGGCGAAAGCCUGACGGAGCAACGCCGCGUGAGUGAUGACGGCCUUCGGGUUGUAAAGGCUCUGUGAUCGGGGACGAACGGUCCGUAAG
rnacentral:rRNA from 1 species